UGGCGGUCGUUGUAAAUGGUGAUCCCGAGUAUUGUUAUUAGUUUUUUCGUUAUGGCGAGUAUGAAUCCGAAAACUUCACCGUUUCCAAGUGGUUUUGACCUUCGGCAUCGUCUUAAGUUCACUCAAGAGGGUUUAGAAGACGAUCUGUGGUAUGUAACGCAUCUUUCAAUGAGCCCAAAACAAGACGUGUUUGCAGUUGGAGGACCACAAGGCUCUAUUAAGCUUUUAAACAUGGACACCCUUCUUUAUGUUGCAGAUUUUAAAGCUCAUUCUGCAAGGAUUACAGGUAUAGAAUAUUGUCAUACUAAUGAACACUGCUUCUGGUCCACAUCCAUGGAUACUGCGCUUAGUUACUGGGAUUCAAGAAAGGCAUUUAAAGCACCAGUUUACAGGAUCCUGAGCCCAAACAACUGCUCUUUUACUGCUUGUGGUUUGAAUUGUUCAGAUGAAAUUGUUGCAGCUGCUACAGAGCCUUAUGGUGAAGAUGUCUGUCUCUACCUCUGGGAUAUUAGACAACUUAAUGCUGAAAAGUUGCUGCAGACUCACAUGGAUAUGUACACAGACUCGCAUAAUAGUGAAAUUACUCAGAUCCAGUUCAGUCCACUUCAGACUCAUCAAAUGGCAACUGGCUCCACUGAUGGUUUGAUCUGUUUAUUUGAUGUAUCUAAAGGAAAUGAAGAUGAUGCCCUGGACUCAGUACUAAACACAGGAUCCUCUGUGAGUCAAAUUGGUUAUUUUGGUCCAAAGUUGGCAGACCUCUAUUGUCUGACUCAUAUUGAGACUCUUCAGCUGUGGGAUACUGUUGAGGGUACAAUGACUACACAUUUCACCAACCCCAGGGAAGAAAAUGGGGGUCCUUGUGCACAUUCUUGGUUAGAGAGAGGCAACAGGAGGGUUUCUACAAAGCGCAAUGACUGAAGACAAUUUUGACUACUUCGUCAACUGCAUCCAUCACCCAACAGAAAAACAGUUGUACUUUGUUGGAGGCACAAACAGUGGCCGCCUUCAUGUGUUUCAUGUCAAAGAUUCUGAGUUGGAGCCGGUU
rnacentral:misc_RNA from 1 species